rnacentral:rRNA from 1 species
GACGAAGGUGGCGAGCGUUGUUCGGAAUCACUGGGCGUAAAGAGCUCGUAGGCGGUUUGUUGCGUCGGCUGUGAAAUCCCGAGGCUCAACCUCGGGUCUGCAGUCGAUACGAGCAAACUAGAGUGUUGCAGGGGAGACUGGAAUUCCUGGUGUAGCGGUGAAAUGCGCAGAUAUCAGGAGGAACACCGGUGGCGAAGGCGGGUCUCUGGGCAACAACUGACGCUGAGGAGCGAAAGCGUGGGGAGCGAACAGG